rnacentral:rRNA from 1 species
AUUGAACGCUGGCGGCAGGCCUAACACAUGCAAGUCGAGCGGAUGAAGGGAGCUUGCUCCUGGAUUCAGCGGCGGACGGGUGAGUAAUGCCUAGGAAUCUGCCUUGUAGUGGGGGAUAACGUCCGGACACGGGCGCUAAUACCGCAUCCGUCCAGAUGUAGAAAGUGGGGGAUCUUCGGACCUCACGCUAUCAGAUGUGCCUAGGUCGGAUUUGCUAGCUGGUGGGGUAAAGGCCUACCAAGGCGACGAUCCGUAACUGGUCUGCGAGGCUGAUCAGUCACACUGGAACUGAGACACGGUCCAGACUCCUACGGGAGGCAGCAGUGGGGAAUAUUGGACAAUGGGCGAAAGCCUGAUCCAGCCAUGCCGCGUGUGUGAAGAAGGUCUUCGGAUUGUAAAGCACUUUAAGUUGGGAGGAAGGGCAGUAAGUUAAUACCUUGCUGUUUUGACGUUACCAACAGAAUAAGCACCGGCUAACUUCGUG